AACGAACGCUGGCGGCGUGCUUAACACAUGCAAGUCGAACGCGAAAGGGACUUCGGUCCUGAGUAAAGUGGCGCACGGGUGAGUAACGCGUAGAUAACCUGUCUUCAUGUCUGGAAUAAUACGCCGAAAGGGGUACUAAUACCGGAUAUUCUUGCUUUUCAUAAGUUAUACAAGCAAAGGUGGCCUCUGCAUAUGCUACUGCAUGAAGAGGGGUCUGCGUACCAUUAGCUAGUAGGUGGGGUAAUGGCCUACCUAGGCGACGAUGGUUAGCGGGUCUGAGAGGAUGAUCCGCCACACUGGCACUGGAACACGGGCCAGACUCCUACGGGAGGCAGCAGUGAGGAAUAUUGCGCAAUGGGGGAAACCCUGACGCAGCGACGCCGCGUGAGUGAGGAAAGGCCUUCGGGUCGUAAAGCUCUGUCAAGAGGAAAGAAGUGUACAAUGGCUAAUACCUGUUGUAUUUGACGGUACCUCUAAAGGAAGCACCGGCUAACUCCGUGCCAGCAGCAGC
rnacentral:rRNA from 1 species